UACGUAGGGGGCAAGCGUUGUCCGGAUUUAUUGGGCGUAAAGAGCGUGUAGGCGGCCAUACAGGUCCGUUGUGAAAACUGGAGGCUUAACCUCCAGACGUCGAUGGAAACCGUAUGGCUAGAGUCCGGAAGAGGAGAGUGGAAUUCCUGGUGUAGCGGUGAAAUGCGCAGAUAUCAGGAGGAACACCGAUGGCGAAGGCAGGUCUCUGGGCCAUAACUGACGCUGAGAAGCGAAAGCAUGGGGAGCGAACAGG
rnacentral:rRNA from 1 species